AUGCUAGGUCUAGCAAACAUGUGGGCUGCCAAGGUGGCCUCAGUAGUUACCACUACUCAUCAACACAUUACUUGGCGAUCAUGAGCUUAGCCUAUUUACCAUGUCUGACCAGAAAAUCUUGGGAACAAAUUUAUGGUACUCAUGUUCAUGUUAUGCUAUGAAUCCUUUGAUGAUGAUUCUCUUUUCGGCAAUCACCGAAAAUAUCCUUAAGCGUGCUACCCAAAUUGUUGACAAAAUUGUGCAGGGUACCCAAGUGCACGUGGAGAACAUAGAGGAGAACACACCCAAAGCAGGCUUCAGUGCACCAUUGUGCACACUAAAGUCCAUAGCCAGCGAGAUGCAAUGCAAGCCUCCUAGUGAGGAAGUUGCCCACAACACAACCCUGGCCAUACUGAACAAGCUAUCAAGCUAUUCAUGGGAAGCAAAGGCAGUGCUGACUCUAGCAGCUUUUGCCAUGGAAUACGGGGAGUUCUGGCUCCUCGCCCAGCUUCAAGAAUCAGACCGACUCGCCAAAUCAAUUGCAAUCCUGAAGCGAGUCCCCGUGCUCCUCAAGCCUCGACCUGCACAAGAAAAGACAAGCAGUGCUUGAACUUAACAAUCUGAUCAAGGCCACAUUGCAAGUGAUUGAGUGCAUCGACCAAUUCGAUAAGCUUUCCAGCUACGACCCAAAAGAUGUCCCAGCGUUGGCGCUAGCAAUGGACCAUAUUCCAGUUGAUGUGUACUGGGCUGUUGCCACUGUUGUUGCUUGUGCAACUAAGAUCACCAUCCUCACCUGUAAUGAGGACAAGGAGCAUGAUCUAGCCCCAUUUGCUCAAAAAAUUCACUAUGUCCUAAACAAGCUUAAGAUCCAGCUUAUUGUCUGCAGAAAACAAAUUGAGGAGGCAGAGACUUACCGGAGGCUAAGGAAAAUCUUCCAAACUCCUACUGAAAUCAUGGAGGUUUUCAAGGCCCUGAUUUUUACCAAGGAAAAUGUCCAGCCGCUCGUUGAUGGUUCUACUAAACAAAUGGUUAAAAUCGAUAUCCUGAGGAAGAAGAAUGUGUUGUUCAUUUCAAGCCUAGACAUCUCUGAUGAUGAUAUCUCAAUCCUCAAGCCCAUCUAUGAUAUGAUAAAGAAAGACAAUCAGCACAAGAUUGUGUGGAUUCCGAUUGUGGAGCAUUGGGACCGAUGACCGCCGAAAGAAGUUUGAGAGCCUCCGAAAUAAGAAUGCCAUGGUACACAGUCGAUUGCAGAUCUCGGUACACAGGCAUCAGAUCAGAUUCAUCAAGGAGGAGUGGAACUUCAAGGGUAAGCCCACACUAGUGGUGAUGAACCCACAAGGAAAGGUCGAACAUCCCAACGCUCUCCACAUGAUUAGGGUUUUGGGGAGUCAAUGCUUUCCCUUUCACAAAGGCAACUGAAGAAGAGCUCUCACAAUGGUCACGGAGAUAAAUGGAUUGGCACUGUUGUCCAAGGGGUUAGCCAAUCUGUUACGAUCAAAGAGGACAAGUACAUUUUCUUCUAUGGUGGCAAAGACAAUGGUUGGAUUCAAGAGUUCACAAAGAAAGCAACUGCCCUUGCAAAUGAUCCCAUCUUCAAGGAGGCAAAGAUUCACAUCGAGUUGUUCUGCGUGGGAAAAGGAAGCAAGGGAGAAGAUGACCAUGGCAUCCUCGGGAAGUUCUGGACUGGCAUCGAAAGCUUGUUCUUCACCAAGGUUCACAGGCCAGCCGACCAAGUCGGUCAAGAAGUCCAGAAGCUACUUUCUUACAAAAACGAAAGUGGAUGGGCUGUGCUCAGCAAAGGGCAUUCUGUGGUGCUCACCGGCCACGGUGUCUCGAUCUUGAGGGUGGUAGAGGACUUUGACAAAUGGAAGGACCAUGUGAAAGAGAGGGGCUUUGAGUUUUGCUUCAAGUCAUACCAUGAGAGGGUUCGCACUGUGAGUCGACCUUGCUGCCGCCUUGAUAUUCCGGGCUCUACCGGGAAGGUUCCAGACACCAUGAAGUGUCCUGAUUGCCACCGGAGCAUGGAGACUUUCAUCAGUUACAAGUGUUGCCACAUUGAUGGUCCUACUGCACAUCACUAAGUUCUCGGUCUCCUUCCCUUUACUACUUCAAGUGUGAUGUUGGCUAGUCUAAUAAGUUCAGAGUAGUAUGUUGUAAUAUCUAUAUAAAGGGCAACCUAGUUAGCUCAUGCAUGGUGAUACUUGAUGCCUAAUUAAUGGGGACUAGUAUGCUUAUGUAAUUGUCUUCCUGAGUAUGUUUUCAUGGUAUGUAGCUGCUACUUUAUGUAAUGUAAUGUUUAUUUGAAUAAUUUGAGAUGUCUACAUUUCC